rnacentral:tRNA from 1 species
GCUUUCGUGGUGUAGUGGUCAACACGUUCGACGCGUAACAAUAGGUCCGUGGUUCGAUUCCCGGCGAAGGCG